CCUGUUUCUGCUGCUCAAGCAUCCUCCAAUGUAUGCAUUUCUUCUAAGAAGACCAACUUCCUCUUUCUUCACAAUAAAGGCCAUAACAGACACUUGCGAUUGUACUAACUACUUAAAAAUACUUUUCUGUGGGAGACAAUAAAAAGCAAAUUCUUUCAUCGCAUCUCCCUCUUCCUGGUCUAACUUCCUCCUUCUUCCAGAGACACCUCCCAAGAGGAAUCCCCUGGGCUCCGAGAACUUCCGGAAGCACAUUCACCAGCCUGAGGCUGCGGGGCGGGAGGGUCACACAGCUUAGCCUGCCUCACAAACACUCUCACUUCCCACUUCCUCUGGUUCUGUCACCUCCCUGAGCUUGGGAAUGAGACAUUUAAAUCACCACAGCCCACUCAGAGAUGCUGCAGCUGCCAAUUAGACCUCUUCUCGGGAUUUGUGUUUAGGAAAGGGCCCCAGUUGUUUGGCUCUCUCCAGAAAAUGACUUAUGAAGAUGCCUUUGGAUCAUGUGACUCCUGGUUAAAAAAAUAAACAGCCCAAUUGUUGACACCUGACCUGCAACUGAGACAGAAGCCUUUACCACAUGGGGUGAGAUACAGAUUUCUCAAGAAAUGUCACUUGCUUUGUUUUUCUUAGCCUGGAAAGCCAAUUUGCAUGUUUUGUAUAAAGCUGAAUCUGAACCGGUGAGCCCUGUGGUAUCAAUAAUCUGAACUGUUCAAAAGUUGCUUUUUUUGCAGAGCAAGAAUAAAUGACAAGGGCUUUGGAAAUGAGAGGGUUCAGAGCCAUUCUGUAUCCUGUGCUGUCCUUGGCUGCUGGAUUGCUGACCUGGGGCUUUUACCUGGUGGUCUGAUGAGUCAUGACAUUCAUAAAAAGAGAAGAUAGCAGAGAUACUUGGAAGGAUGGGCUGGAAAGGAGGUAGAAGACUGGAGAUAGAAGAAUGUUCCAAACAACUAACCCAUGCUGUGGCCAAGGACCAGCACAGAAUCUUCUUCUACCUGGAAAUUCCUUUACGGUGCACGCUUUGAAGUCUGGGGUGUUCUACAAGCAUCCCAUCUCAGGGUGCUGGUCCUUAAGUUCCAGUUCGUUCACAUACGCUGGUUAGUCAGGAACACAUAGCAUUACACAUGACAGAUAUUGGGGCCAGAUGACUAAGCAUAGCUGGGAGCAUGUACCUUGGAAAGAUACAUCUGCAUUUUCCAAUUGAAUCCCAGACAAAACUUCAGGAAUUUCAGGUUUGGUUAUGAACGUGUACCAAGUUCACCAAAGUUCACUUCUAGGGAGCCUGGAGUGAGCUAGGCAUAAAUCAGAACCAGCCGAAGUGGAGGCCUGAAAACACACUCAUAGGUAGGGACAGAUGUGCUGCAGCCCUGCCCGGCUUCCGAUGGGAACCACCUGGAUGGUGUGGGCAGGGUACAGCCUGGGCCUGAAGCCUGAGCAGUUCCGGCAUCCAGCGGUUCUCUCCACCGUUUUAUUCCCAUCUCACCCUGACCGACUCCAGGGUGCCACCUGCCCACAGGAAACAAGAAGUUGAGGAAACAG
rnacentral:lncRNA from 1 species